GUUAAACUUGUUGUUAAAAUGAAGUUAAUGUAAUGUUCACAAACAGUAGAGUUAAUGAGUUUUUCCAUUAACAAGAAUUUCUUAAAAUAAUAAUGUAUGGAUAUCAUUUGGAAAGUGACAUGAAAUGUUGUUAAAAAGUGAUGCAUACAAGUGUUUCAGAAGUCUGUCUAGGAAUAGAACAACAACUGAAGCUGACCAGUUGAUGGAAGAUACUGCAGAGUUUGGCAGGGAAAUAACCCAAGACAGCAAAGCGGCUCUUUUGGCGCAUUUACCAAGAGGACUAACAUGGCCACAAAUUCAUGAGAUCAUGCAGGAGCCGUACAGUAUAACAGCAGUACAAGUUCUAUAAAAGAUCCACGACCUACUGAAGCCCAGCUAAUUAACAAAAAAGUUUUUAAAAACUGUAAUUUUAUCCCACCUGGGUACUUAUAAUUUACUAAGCUGCCUUCACAAGUUUUAGACUUGCAAUUAUAUUUUAAACUGUCACUUGGAAAGUAAUACAUGUACAUGCAUUAUGUUCUGAAUUUCUUUGAACAAUAAAAUUAUAUAAAAGUAUUUUAAUGAAAUUGAGCACCUAAAUUGCAUUAAAGUGAAAGUAGCUGAGAAAAAUAGUAUCCUUGUGCUCAUGGGCAGCUACAUAUAUUGUGACAAACAUGAAGUAGCUAAAAUAACUUAAAUUUUUCAUUUUGUUUCUUGUAUAUCGUUUGUACAGGGUUCGUGAAUUGUUACUGUAUAUUACUUGACUUGCUUGUAUUUUGUUACUUUGAAUACAUGUUGUUAAGGUUGCAUUAUACUUUUUAACUUUUAAAGUAGCGCCUGUUCUGUUAUGUAAGGGCCUGAUUUAUGAUAAUGGACCUAGAGGCUUUGUAAGCAUGUAUUAAACAACACUUGUUUGAU